rnacentral:lncRNA from 1 species
CUCCCAAAGGGGAGACAAAAAAGAAGUUCAAGGAUCCCAAUGCACCCAAGAGGCCUCCUUCGGCCUUCUUCCUCUUCUGCUCUGAGUAUCGCCCAAAAAUCAAAGGAGAACAUCCUGGCCUGUCCAUUGGUGAUGUUGCGAAGAAACUGGGAGAGAUGUGGAAUAACACUGCUGCAGAUGACAAGCAGCCUUAUGAAAAGAAGGCUGCGAAGCUGAAGGAAAAAUAUGAAAAGGUAAGAAGUGUGGGUUUGCUUGGUAAAAUGAUGACAAGUACGCCAGAUGUAUGAUUGUACUUAGUUUGAGGUGUAAUAAGUUUUUAGGGUAACAGCUACAUUAAGUAUGGUGUUGAUAUAAGUCCUCAUCCUUCAAAGAAUGCAGAGGACCAAAUAAAUUAGGGUUUUUUUGACUAAAAUGUAAUCAGACUC